rnacentral:lncRNA from 1 species
GAGGAUCUGUUGUUGUAGAAGAUGCAAUGCACAUUUGUACAGCUUAAAAUAUUUCUAAAAUCAAAUCACCAAAGAAGUACCUGUUUGUCUCACUUUAUAUUCUCAGAAGCUGAGACGGCUGGCUAGGAUCAAGCAGCAGCAAUGCAAGUGUCCCUCGCAAGUCAUGUUUAACACUGAAGCAAAACAAAAUUGCAUUGGUGUAAAACUACAACUAUUAGCUCUUUCAGUUUGUCAGACAGUCCCUUCAAUCCAAGAAUAUACAACAUCUAGAAGAAAUAAAACCAAUGACAUAAUUAGUAAACAAUUUCAGCGACAAAAGGAUAAACAAAUUGGAUUUUUAAAACAAAACCUGCACCUGCACAAGUAUAUGUUAUAUUAACAAAAGUGCAGAUCCCGUCCCACUCUUCACUUUUUGACAAAAAACUUCCGAAUAGCAAUCUUGGUGAGUGAUCUCGACCGGGUUCGAUCGGCAUGGCGUGUCGUUCCUCCAGGAGUGGGUGCUGAGAGGAAGGAUGGCAAACCUCCAUUGUCAAUCGGCCGGAGCUGCAUCGUCAUUUAGAUCAGAGCAUGGACGAAAUCGAGAUGGUAGAGGUUGAAGAAUUUGUAGGACGUGAGGGUUUAGGGUGGGCAUCACGAGAACUCACCCAUAUCUUGGGAGACGGCAGACCCGAG